rnacentral:rRNA from 1 species
CACGUAGGGGACGAGCGUUGUCCGGAUUCAUUGGGCGUAAAGCGCGCGUAGGCGGCUCGGAAAGUCGGGCGUGAAAUGCCGGGGCUCAACCCCGGGACUGCGUCCGAUACUUCCGAGCUGGAGGUAGGUAGGGGAGAUCGGAAUUCCUGGUGUAGCGGUGAAAUGCGCAGAUAUCAGGAGGAACACCGGUGGCGAAGGCGGAUCUCUGGGCCUUACCUGACGCUGAGGCGCGAAAGCUAGGGGAGCGAACAGGAUUAGAUACCCUGGUAGUCCUAGCCGUAAACGUUGGGUGCUAGGUGUGGGUGGACAUCGACCCCAUCCGUGCCGAAGCUAACGCAUUAAGCACCCCGCCUGGGGAGUACGGCCGCAAGGCUAAA